rnacentral:rRNA from 1 species
ACUCAAAUGAAUUGACGGGGGCCCGCACAAGCGGUGGAUCAUGUGGUUUAAUUCGAAGCAACGCGCAGAACCUUACCUGGGUUUGAAAUCCUACGAAUCCUGCAGAGAUGUGGGAGUGCCCUUCGGGGAAUGUAGAGACAGGCGCUGCAUGGCUGUCGUCAGCUCGUGUUGUGAAAUGUUGGGUUAAGUCUCGCAACGAGCGCAACCCCUGUUCUUAGUUGCCAGCAUUAAGUUGGGCACUCUAAGAAGACUGCCUGGGUUAACCAGGAGGAAGGUGGGGAUGACGUCAAGUCCUCAUGGCCCUUAUGUCCAGGGCUACACACGUGAUACAAUGGUAAGUAUAAAGGGAAGCGAGCCCGCGAGGGGGAGCCAAUCUCAAAAAGCUUAUCUCAGUCCGGAUUGGAGUCUGCAACUCGACUCCAUGAAGUUGGAAUCGCUAGUAAUCGCUGAUCAGCACGCAGCGGUGAAUACGUUCCCGGGCCUUGUACACACCGCCCGU